rnacentral:rRNA from 1 species
GACGAACGCUGGCGGCGUGCCUAAUACAUGCAAGUAGAACGCUGAAGAGAGGAGCUUGCUCUUCUUGGAUGAGUUGCGAACGGGUGAGUAACGCGUAGGUAACCUGCCUGGUAGCGGGGGAUAACUAUUGGAAACGAUAGCUAAUACCGCAUAAAAUGGAUUAUCGCAUGAUAAUCCAUUGAAAGGUGCAAAUGCAUCACUACCAGAUGGACCUGCGUUGUAUUAGCUAGUUGGUGGGGUAACGGCUCACCAAGGCGACGAUACAUAGCCGACCUGAGAGGGUGAUCGGCCACACUGGGACUGAGACACGGCCCAGACUCCUACGGGAGGCAGCAGUAGGGAAUCUUCGGCAAUGGACGGAAGUCUGACCGAGCAAUGCCGCGUGAGUGAAGAAGGUUUUCGGAUCGUAAAGCUCUGUUGUAAGAGAAGAACGAGUGUGAGAGUGGAAAGUUCACACUGUGACGGUAUCUUACCAGAAAGGGACGGCUAACUACGUG